rnacentral:lncRNA from 1 species
UGAGUGGCAUCAGGAUGUCUGAGAGGAGAGCAUGGUGUUUUUGCUUCAUUGGAUCCAUGCAGGUCUUGGAGGGUGGUGGCCCACUCUUUCUGGGCCAAGUAGAGGGUGGCUCAGACACCCCCCCUUCCUCCAGGCUUCUCAUCUGUAACUGGUGAAGCCCGGAAGAGCUUGUUGUUCAAGAGGAAAUCUUGUGUUACUUCUUUAUGAAGGACUCCAGCCUGGUGGAGAUGAAUGAGUCCUGAAGAUGGAAUCGAAGCUGUUUGGGCACAAGUACUUUAAUCAGCAUUUAAUGACCCAGUCGAAAAUUCAUUGUUUGGACCCAAGCACUGGUGGGAAAGGCAGGAGGGGAGGCCUGCCUUCCUUCCUCCCUCCCGAGCCCUACAGCAGGCCAUGGAGUGGUGAGCGAGUUCGUACAGUGCCAACCACAUUCCCAGAAACUUCCAGCAGAGGUUAAUCCUGCUCCUCUCAGGUAGGAGACAAUGAAUGGAUUUUAACAAAUGGACUCCCUGUGUUAGCUAAUGCCAGUCCCUACUCAACCUAGGAUGACUCCAAUGGCGCAUGUCCCCAUUCCCGGGCCCUAAGGCUGCGCUAACAUGCUAUCCUGCCUGCCCCUUCAUUCUCCACCCUGCCACAUUCCCACUCCUUUCCCCUCCCAACACGAAGCCAUGCCUGAGCUGGACACCCUUCCAUACCAACCCAGGAAAAAGUGAUUCAGCUCCGGUCCACCCUGGGUGCAGCGGUCCUUCUGCCAAGAUGCCUUCAUAUCAUACAGCUAUUAUUUUCGGGAGGAUUCCAAGUGAGGGCAGUCAGGGGUGGGCUUGGCCCAUUCUCUAGACUUUGGAAGGUAAUGUUCUAUAGAGGCCUGUUCUGAAGCUUUACCAGGUCAAACCGGAGAAGAACCCAACAAGUAACUCAUCCCAGCCUAACUAUUCUUCAAGGGCAAUCAACCUACAGCAUCCAAGCACAGAGAAAUCAAAUCCAUGGAGAAUCUUCAAAUUAGGCUCAGAAUCCAUUUGGGUCAAUGAAUUUACUGUUAUUAAGAUCUUAGUUGUGUUCAACCAUGAUUUGACAUACCUUAGAGUGAGAAGAUAUUCUUCCUGGCCUCAGACUAGUUGAAGGUAGAGAGAGAGACAGGCCCUUGGGUGUGGGGAGACCUCUCCUGGGAUAAUACACACAAAAAACCAAGAGCUGCUCACUGUGGUGCAGGAGACAGCAGGGCCUGAAGCCAGAGGCUCUGUGUCCUUGAAUACAAUGUUUUACUCCUCUGACCCCUGUUACUGUGAUUUGGAGAGGCAGACAAUAUAGGAUGGGCUUUGCAGGCAGGGAGGUCCAGUUAUAAUCCCAGCUCUUACUAAGUUGGGUAAGACUCACUCUGAGACUUAGUUUCUUCUGUCAUCUCUCAAUAGAAUCAUAAAGGUACUUUCCUCUUAGUGUUGUUUUAAAAUUCAGUAAAAUAAUGCAGGCUUAGCACAGGGUCUGAUGUAAAUUUUCAAUGAAUUAUCGUUGUCAAUAUUGUUCUGGAAAACAAGAGGGCAUAUUAGAAGAUCAAAAGUACUGCCAAGCAUUGAAGUGCCAAUUCUAGAUCCAGUCUCAGCCCUCUGAGAAUGGAUAUCAUUGUUUUCAAGCCAUUCAGAAACCAAUGUGAAUUGAACACCUAGUAUGAGCUCUCUGAGGGAAGAGCCAAGUCAUGCAUUUUUUAUCUUAAGGGGUCUUCAAUACCUCUAGCCCAAAACAGUAUCUCCAUCAGGAUUCUUCUCUGAUAGUGUUCAUUUCUUUUUUCUCAAUGGAUGCCUUAAAAAAAAAAUCCUACAAGGAAACCUGUACUCCUCAAAUACACCACUCAGGUGACCAUUAAAUCAUUUACAUUGUU